UACGGAGGGGGCAAGCGUUAUCCGGAUUCACUGGGCGUAAAGGGCGCGUAGGUGGGCUGGUAAGUCAGUGGUGAAAUCCCCGAGCUUAACUUGGGAACUGCCAUUGAUACUAUCAGUCUUGAAUACUGUGGAGGCUAGCGGAAUAUGUCAUGUAGCGGUGAAAUGCUUAGAUAUGACAUAGAACACCAAUGGCGAAGGCAGCUGGCUAGGAAUGUAUUGACACUGAGGCGCGAAAGCGUGGGGAGCAAACAGG
rnacentral:rRNA from 1 species